UACAGAGGUCUCAAGCGUUGUUCGGAUUCAUUGGGCGUAAAGGGUGCGUAGGUGGCGCGGUAAGUCGGGUGUGAAAUUUCGGAGCUUAACUCCGAAACUGCAUUCGAUACUGCCGUGCUUGAGGACUGGAGAGGAGACUGGAAUUUACGGUGUAGCAGUGAAAUGCGUAGAGAUCGUAAGGAAGACCAGUGGCGAAGGCGGGUCUCUGGACGGUUCCUGACACUGAGGCACGAAGGCCAGGGGAGCAAACGGG
rnacentral:rRNA from 1 species